AUUUAUCUAAUAUAUAAGUAUAUUUGACUUCCAAUCAAAAAGUUUGUUAAANACAAGAUAAAUA
rnacentral:tRNA from 1 species